AGCGAACGCUGGCGGCAGGCUUAACACAUGCAAGUCGAACGGGCACUUCGGUGCUAGUGGCAGACGGGUGAGCAACGCGUGGGAACGUGCCUUUCGGUUCGGAAUAAUCCAGGGAAACUUGGACUAAUACCGGAUACGCCCUUCGGGGGAAAGAUUUAUCGCCGAAAGAUCGGCCCGCGUCUGAUUAGCUAGUUGGUGAGGUAAAGGCUCACCAAGGCGACGAUCAGUAGCUGGUCUGAGAGGAUGAUCAGCCACAUUGGGACUGAGACACGGCCCAAACUCCUACGGGAGGCAGCAGUGGGGAAUAUUGGACAAUGGGCGCAAGCCUGAUCCAGCCAUGCCGCGUGAGUGAUGAAGGCCUUCGGGUUGUAAAGCUCUUUCGCACACGACGAUGAUGACGGUAGUGUGAGAAGAAGCCCCGGCUAACUUCGUGCCAGCCGCCGCCGUAAGAC
rnacentral:rRNA from 1 species